GGGGCCGAUCCGGUAUCGACCGGACAGGGAAGGCUUGUCGUGGCGCGCCGUGGAGCAUCCUUGCCACGUAAAAAGGAUGCACACUAUAACUGCCAACACGCAGUACGCUUUAGCAGCCUGAAUAGGCAGCUCAGUCGCCGCUUGACGCCCGAUGGGGCGGCGGCUGAAAAACAUCGGGCUGGUUCCAAAGGGCUGACAGGCCCCGGCGGAAUGAGAAAACUGUCUGUCAUGACGAAGUGAAACGCCGUCGUUCGUGGCUCACCAAGUCGAGAUCAAAUGAACGACUACGCGCGUAGAGGCGACCUGCCGACUGCUCCGGCACGGGGGUUCGAAUCCCCCCGGCUCCACUU
rnacentral:tmRNA from 1 species